UUCAAUAAUAACAGAUAAAAGCCAAUUUGACGUCAAAUCUACAAAAGUCAAAGUUUUCGGGAGAGUAAAAAUAAAAAUAAGCGUGUGUAAGGAAAAAUAAAA